rnacentral:lncRNA from 1 species
UAGAGUUGUGUUUAUUAGUGAUUAAUUGGCGUGUUGAUUAUUGUAGAAUGUGAAGUUGUUGUGUUUUGAUUGAUAUAAUAGAGACUGGUAUGAGUUGUGAGAGAUAUACGAUGAGGAAGAUGAACGAUACAGAGAAAACUGGGAUUUCUAGAAAAUUUUAUGAUGUCAGUCGAUUGACACCAAAUGACAAUCGAUUGCUUGUUCUUAUUUUUGGAAAUUUUGCUUAUGACAUUAGAUGACAAU